CCUACGGGAGGCAGCAGUGAGGAAUAUUGGUCAAUGGGAGAGAUCCUGAACCAGCCAAGUCGCGUGAGGGAAGACGGCCCUAUGGGUUGUAAACCUCUUUUGUCGGAGAAGAAAAGCCGGGACGUGUCCUUGACUGAGUGUAUCCGAAGUACAAGCAUCGGCUAACCCCGUGCCAGCAGUCGCGGUAGUACGGGGGAUGCGAGCGUUAUCCGGAUUGAUUGGGUUGAAUGGGUGCGCAGGCGGUCGGUAAAGUCAGCGGUAAAAUUGCGGGGCUCAACCCCGUUGAGCCGUCGAAACUGGCAGACUUGAGUUGGCGAGAAGUACGCGGAAUGCGCGGUGUAGCGGUGAAAUGCAUAGAUAUAGCGCAGAACUCCGAUUGCGAAGGCAGCGUACCGGCGCCCGACUGACGCUGAGGCACGAAAGCGUGGGGAUCGAACAGGAUUAGAUACCCGUGUAGUC
rnacentral:rRNA from 1 species